AUUGAACGCUGGCGGCAUGCCUUACACAUGCAAGUCGAACGGCAGCACGGGAGCAAUCCUGGUGGCGAGUGGCGAACGGGUGAGUAAUAUAUCGGAACGUGCCCAGUCGUGGGGGAUAGCGCAGCGAAAGCUGUGCUAAUACCGCAUACGAUCUACGGAUGAAAGCGGGGGAUCGCAAGACCUCGCGCGAUUGGAGCGGCCGAUAUCAGAUUAGCUAGUUGGUGGGGUAAAGGCCUACCAAGGCGACGAUCUGUAGCUGGUCUGAGAGGACGACCAGCCACACUGGAACUGAGACACGGUCCAGACUCCUACGGGAGGCAGCAGUGGGGAAUUUUGGACAAGGGGCGCAAGCCUGAUCCAGCAAUGCCGCGUGCAGGAUGAAGGCCUUCGGGUUGUAAACUGCUUUUGUACGGAACGAAACGGUGAGCUCUAAUACAGUUUGCUAAUGACGGUACCGUAAGAAUAAGCACCGGCUAACUACGUGCCAGCCGCCGCCGUAAAAC
rnacentral:rRNA from 1 species